rnacentral:sRNA from 2 species
UGUGUUAUAGAUGAACGAAGAAAACGAAAUCAAGGGCCGCGACCGAGGCACUUUGGUUGGUUUUAUAAUUGGAUGGACGGAGUCCGUCGGCGUUAAAAAUCAGUUUCAACCACCGAACGAGUUAUUUAUCCAAAUUUCGACCUAUUUUCGACCAUGUUUUGGCCUUUUUAUUGUCCACUAACGAAUUUUGAGGUAAUACCAACUCGAAAAUCAUAAUACCUCUAAUUUCCGAGAAUCGUAGCUUGGGGUUGAGCGCCGAGGAGUAUGAGUAACUCUAAAAGAAUCGCAUCGAAGAGACAAAUUUCUCUGCAAAUUCUAUAAAGGAAUCGCGACACGUUAGACAAUCCCCUUCCGCUUUACUGAUUGUGAAAAAUAGCGAAGGCCUUGGAUUCCCACUCCAGAAAUCAUUGAUAGCCCUGGGAAAAGGUUUGCUGAAAAUAGUGCUCUUGCUGGUUUAACUUGCUGCUGAAUGACCUAAUAAUGAUAGGACCGCACAUUAGGGUUAGGGUUUAGUCGUCAAAUGGCCAUUGUCGCGCCAGCUCUGCCUUAUCUUCUUCGGUUUUCCCAAACUCUUGCACUACCUCCUCCUUUAGUGCUCGAAGUGCAACCUUGGCGGCUUUAUAUUUUCCGUGCUCAACUGCGUUUUUAUCAGGCCAGAGCGGCCCUAAUCGGGCUUUGAAAUCGCUCAUGAUCUGCAUUCCACGUACUGCCUUUUCACCAUCCUUUUCGAUCUCUGCCAAACGCCUAUCAUCAAAUAUAAUGGGAAAAGGCCGUCGGGGGUUUGAAGAAUUAUUUGCUGGCAGCUCAGGCCAUGCAUCGCGUAAACCUAUGGUUAGGGCAUGAAAAUGUGCUUCACCAAAUUCUAGCAGGCGACGGGCUAGCACAAGUAAAUCAAAACCCUCCGUUCGACGGUAUUUAAUAGCCUCAUAAGCUGCCGGAGUCUUCUUUAAUGCGAUUUUUCGGGAGGCGACGAAGAGAGCUUUUUUAUAAUAUUGACUGAUUGCUUCUGUUUUCUCUGUUUCCGAAAGACCUUCGAUAUUCUCAAGUUCAGGGCGGUCUAAAGUCUCUGGUUCUGGGCCACUAUAGUCAAUGAACACAGGGUCUGGACUGUGAUCAAGUAACGGUAAAAGGCUGACGGACUGCCAGUCAAUAAUCCCAACAAGUUUGGAGGGAUCUUUUGGAUCAACGAAUAUGUUCUCGUCGUGGAGAUCAUCAUGCCAGAGACAAGGUGUUGUAAUAUUCUUACUCUCGGUAGGGAGAAGAGCGUCAUAAAUUUGGAGG